rnacentral:lncRNA from 1 species
CUAAAAUUAAAGGCCAACUACUCAACCUGGAUCCUACAAACAUGCUUUAACAGAAAAGUGUUUACAAUUAAAAUGUACCAAGUUGGGAAGGCUAUGUGGCUCUACAGUGUACAUUACCACUGAUGCCUAUAGAGUCGAACAGAUUAGUACUGUUUCUUAUUGAAUGAAGACUUCAUUUUCUGCUGGGGCACAGCACUAACCAGCUGUACUUUCAGGGAGAGGAGCCAGGAGCUGAACAUGAUGACACAGUCAGGAUCUCAUCCCACAGACUGCAAGCAAGAGUAGAAACUUUAAUUUUGCUGGGGAAUGCUUUUAAGGAAGUGUUGCUUACCCUACAUUCUUCUGCUGUGAUAGUUAUCUGAGGUUCACUGGCAGGAACUACCACUGACAUCCAGCAAUGUGAUUGUUGUAUAUAUCUAGCUCACAGCCAGUUAUACAAUGGAUCCAUUACAGCUGCAUCCAAAGUGGAGGACUUAACACAUUUAUUGCCUUUUUGACAAGAAAAGGAUGGGAAAGAACUAAAUGUACCUGCUACACAAACUUUGUGUUUAAGAAAAAGCAUGUCUUAUCCAUACUGUCCUACAUCCUUGGUGACAGGAACUGCCAUUUAGGAGAAGAGGGGCACACUGGAUGCUGUCUGAUAAUUGAAGAGGCAUAGACAGGGAGAGAGAGAAAAAAAUCUUGUUCUUGUGGUAGAUCCUUCAUCCUUCAAUGAGAAGGUAAAACAUUGCCCUGCAGGAACUGUCUAUCAGUAAAGCUAUUGCUUUAGUCCGUGGUAAAAAAAGAUAACUUGUCUUCAUUCAUACUAGAAGUUUAUUUAGGCAUCAGUGAGAGCAAGCUUAGAACAUAUUGAAUAUAUUUAGACAGUAGAUGUGAAAGCAGUACCUUGUGAGUGACGUUUGGAAUAGUGUUAGUAUAGCUUUUCAUUCAGGCUGAAGUCUUUGAGUAUCUUGUUGUAUGGACCUGAAAUCCACUGGGUUAGUCUAGUCUUCUUUCCAAAGGAUUUACUGGGCUUACUUAUUUAAGUAAUACU